UACGGAGGGUGCGAGCGUUGUCCGGAAUCACUGGGCGUAAAGGGCGCGUAGGCGGCCUGAUAAGUGGGGGGUGAAAUCCUGAGGCUUAACCUCAGGGCUGCCUUCUAAACUGUCAGGCUCGAGCACAGUAGAGGCAGGUGGAAUUCCCGGUGUAGCGGUGGAAUGCGUAGAGAUCGGGAAGAACAUCAGUGGCGAAGGCGGCCUGCUGGGCUGUUGCUGACGCUGAGGCGCGACAGCGUGGGGAGCAAACAGG
rnacentral:rRNA from 1 species